rnacentral:tRNA from 1 species
GGUAAAAUGACCGAGGUUAUUAGGUAAUAGAUUGUAAAUCUAUUAAGGGGAUUUAUAUCCCUUUUACCA